AUACGGAGGGGGCUAGCGUUGUUCGGAAUUACUGGGCGUAAAGCGUACGUAGGCGGACUGAUCAGUUGGGGGUGAAAUCCCAGGGCUUAACCCUGGAACUGCCUUCAAUACUGUCAGUCUUGAGAUUGGAAGAGGUGAGUGGAAUUCCUAGUGUAGAGGUGAAAUUCAUAGAUAUUAGGAGGAACACCAGUGGCGAAGGCGGCUCACUGGUCCAAUACUGACGCUGAGGUACGAAAGCGUGGGUAGCGAAAAGGAUUAGAUACCCUAGUAGUCC
rnacentral:rRNA from 1 species